rnacentral:rRNA from 1 species
GGGGAGUGACGUCAAGUCAGCAUGGCCUUUAUGUCCAGGGCUACACACGUGCUACAAUGGGUGGUACAAAGAGAUGCCAACUCGCGAGAGCGCGCCAAUCUCAGAAAGCCAUCCUCAGUUCGGAUUGGAGUCUGCAACUCGACUCCAUGAAGUUGGAAUCGCUAGUAAUCGCGGAUCAGCACGCCGCGGUGAAUACGUUCCCGGGCCUU